AAUCCAUAGGUUAAUGAGGCGAACCGGGGGAACUGAAACAUCUAAGUACCCCGAGGAAAAGAAAUCAACCGAGAUUCCCCCAGUAGCGGCGAGCGAACGGGGAGGAGCCCAGAGCCUGAAUCAGCAUGUGUGUUAGUGGAAGCGUCUGGAAAGGCGCGCGAUACAGGGUGACAGCCCCGUACACAAAAGCGCAUGUGCUGUGAGCUCGAUGAGUAGGGCGGGACACGUGGUAUCCUGUCUGAAUAUGGGGGGACCAUCCUCCAAGGCUAAAUACUCCUGACUGACCGAUAGUGAACCAGUACCGUGAGGGAAAGGCGAAAAGAACCCCGGCGAGGGGAGUGAAAAAGAACCUGAAACCGUGUACGUACAAGCAGUGGGAGCACCCUUUGGGGUGUGACUGCGUACCUUUUGUAUAAUGGGUCAGCGACUUAUAUUCUGUAGCAAGGUUAACCGAAUAGGGGAGCCGGAGGGAAACCGAGUCUUAAUUGGGCGUUAAGUUGCAGGGUAUAGACCCGAAACCCGGUGAUCUAGCCAUGGGCAGGUUGAAGGUUGGGUAACACUAACUGGAGGACCGAACCGACUAAUGUUGAAAAAUUAGCGGAUGACCUGUGGCUGGGGGUGAAAGGCCAAUCAAACCGGGAGAUAGCUGGUUCUCCCCGAAAGCUAUUUAGGUAGCGCCUCGUGAAUUCAUCUCCGGGGGUAG
rnacentral:rRNA from 2 species